AUCAGAUUUCUAGACGCAGAUCGUGUCUUUACUUCUUCUUCUUCUUCCAACGUGCAACGGCAGGCACAAAAUUGAUUAUCCAAGUAUCUCUUGCUCUCUCUAAAGUCCGAAACCUUGAAACCCAGCAAAUUUUUUCUUUAAAUUGGUUUCAAUUCUUCAAUUCAUUCUCAUCCAUCACCCAAUCUUUUUCCUCUCUAUGUUUCUAUUAUUCUACAGUGAUCAUACGAAUUUUUAAGUUUUCCAUCGAUGUAGGCUAAGGUCAAAUCAAAAUAGGCGCAAUUGGAAGUUGGAGUUGCAAGUCAAUCUUGAUCAGAAAAGAAAGAACGAGAAGGAAAAAAGCAAAUUCCAGAUUUUUCGGGUGCAAUUAGAAGUUGGAUUUGCAAGUCAAUCUCAAUCAGAAAAGAAAAAACAAGAAAGAAAAAAGCUGAUUCUAGAUUUCCAGGCUAGUUGGAGCAUACACAAAAUUCGCCCUGGGCAUCAAAAAGCUCAGGACCGGCCUUGUGUCAGGAUUAACUGUUGCAUGUGCUUUUGCUCAUAUUGAAUAUACAAAUGGUCUUGCCUCUAGACUUCAAGAUUUUCUAUUCAAGUUUCUUUUCUCAGUGGAAAAAACAAAUAAAAUAAAACUAAAACUGUUGCAUGUACAACAUUAAGUCUUUUUUUCAUCCUCAAUUUAGAAUCUAAAUUCACACUAUCUAAUUUGCAGUCCACACUUCUUUUUAUUUUUUAAGUUGAAGUUUUUAUAAAAAAAAAAAAAAGAUAAAAUAGAAGUUACUGAAAAUAAAAUUAAAGUUUGUAAAAAAAGGAAACAUGGGAUGUACGAAUUGUAAAAUUAGAAGUAUGAAUUUCAAUCUCCAUAUAUGAAAUUUAAUAUAAUAUAAUAAAAGCUUAGAACAUUUAGGACGUUAGUGACAUCGUCAUGGAGAACAAAGAUAAUGGAAAAUAAGACUUCAUUAAGUACAAAUUAAAUAAAAUUACUUCAUUUAUACAACAAGAGUUCACACUACAUAUAAUAAUCUUAUGGAUUUAAAACUAUAGGGAAGAAACACAGGAGUUCACACUAUAUAUAAUAAUCUUAUGGAUUUAAAGCUAUUGGGAAGAAACACAACUAUCUCUGCUUCCAUCCAGUACCAGCUAGCUACACCUUGUUCUAAUAAAAGAACACACUCAAAACGAAAGCAAAAACCCAUAGAAAACAACCAAGACAAGAGUAGCAUGGUUCAAUAUACAAUACACCAGCAA